rnacentral:lncRNA from 1 species
UCCACCACCCUCUCCUUCCCCUCCUCCACCUUACUAUUACAAGUCUCCCCCACCACCAUCACCUGUUUACAAAUACAAUUCACCACCUCCACCAUCACCAACUUAUGUGUACAAAUCUCCUCCUCCUCCAACACCAGUUUAUAAAUAUAAAUCACCACCUCCACCAUCACCAACAUAUGUGUACAAGUCUCCUCCUCCUCCAACACCAGUUUACAAGUAUAAGUCACCACCUCCACCAUCACCAACAUAUGUGUACAAGUCUCCUCCUCCUCCAACACCAGUUUACAAGUAUAAGUCACCACCUCCACCAUCACCAACAUAUGUGUACAAGUCUCCUCCUCCUCCAACACCGGUAUACAAACCUCCAUACUACUACAAUUCACCUCCUCCUCCAACACCAGUUUACAAAUACAAAUCACCACCUCCUCCAUCACCAACUUACGUGUACAAGUCUCCUCCUCCACCAACACCAGUAUACAAACCCCCAUACUACUAUAACUCACCUCCUCCUCCAACACCAGUUUACAAGUAUAAUUCACCACCUCCACCAUCACCAACUUACGUGUACAAGUCUCCUCCUCCUCCCGCACCAGUUUAUAAGUACAACUCACCACCUCCUCCAACACCAGUAUACAAAUACAACUCACCACCUCCUCCAUCACCAGUUUACAAGUACAACUCACCACCUCCUCCAUCACCAGUUUACGUCUACAAGUCACCACCCCCACCAACAC